GAUGACAGACAGGGUGCCAUUCUCCGGGAGCUUCUGGAGAUGGGCAAUAACCCCCCAGACACAAACUCACUAAAAAAUUAUCAGCUGUGUCUAGCACAGGGCAGGACAUGGCAGAGUGCUGAGGCAGAGCAUCCACUUUAGACAGAGUGGCCGGAGAAGACCUUCUAAGGAAGUGGCAUUUAAGCAAGAUGCCAAGCCACAUGGAGAGCAGGAGGGGUGAGAGGUGGGAGGAAGCCUGCAGUGAAUAAAGGAGAGCAUGUGCAAAGGUCACAAUGGAAAGGCCAUGGAGGCGACACUGGGCCAGGAGAGGCACAUCCAGUCCCAGCCAGUGAUCUCAUGAGUGAAUCUUCUUGGGUUCAAAAAGGAUUAGAUGAGUGAGGACAGUAUUUUGGGACUCAGGAAGGAAGGAGAAAGUUUGGAUCAUUCACACAGAGACAAAGGAUUCACAGGAAAGUUGGGGGACAGCAAAGUACCCUGAGUGCCUG
rnacentral:lncRNA from 1 species